rnacentral:lncRNA from 1 species
UGUGGGCUCAGCUGAUGGACCAGACAUUCCAUGUACUGGCGCAUAACAUUCUGACUCGCAUGCAGUAAGAACAAAAGGAAAUACAGCCCAAUUUGGUAAAAUUCUCUCACAGCCUGGAAAAGAGCAUCCCGAACAGUGGAGAGGAAGAGGGAGUGAGGCCCUGUGGACACAGCAGAGAAUCCACAAUGGAUUUGCAGCAGGCUGGUGGAGGCAGAGCAGAGAAGGGCGGGAGAGGGCCAGUGAAGCCCUGGGAAGGUGGACCCACAAACUCGUCUCCUAAUGAAGCUAACCAGCAAUGCGAGGGCACACAGGGCGACCCCCUAGAGGCUGCCCCAGGCCAGGAGUCACCUGUGAACUGAGGUGGCCAAGGCAGGUUCUGUGGCAGAGGGUGAAUGCCUGCAGAUGAGAACCAGCCGCGGUGCCCAGAAAGGAACAGUGUGCGGGUGAGGCAGGCUCUCCACGUUGCUGUAUCCUCCCCAGGCCCCCCACCCCCAGCACGUGGGCAGUGAGGUGGGGAAUCCUGCCCACAGCACAGAAAAUGCUCUAAACAGAAUCAGCUUGCAAGCAAA